rnacentral:lncRNA from 1 species
CGCCGCUGUCCCGCGCUCCGGAAAGGCCGCGCUGAGGGGUUGCUCAGUUCGGGGCCGACUGGGAACUGCUGGGAGAGCCCGCGGAGGGCUGGAGCAGCUCCUGAUGGGACAGGCUGAGAGCCCCGGGGCUGUGCGCCUAAAGGAGAGAAGGCUGAGGGGUCUGAGCAGCGCUGACCCACACCUGAAGGGCGGGGGAUGGGGCCAAACCCACCUGGACACUGUGCAGCUGCUGUAGGGACUGCUGCGGGUCGGGCUGGGAGAGAUCCAGAGGGCCCUUCCAGCAACCACGUUGUGGGAUUCUGGCGCCUCGAGUGGAAAAUGUCUUCGUGAGGGGAGAAAGGCAGUAAUCACAGAGAAGUUGAAAGGAAGUGACAGAGGCAGAAGCGGGAUCUCUGCUGAUGUUUCUUCCAGCAGGAUGCAUAAUAGGUCCCACCAGUGGGAAAUAAAAGCACUGAGUCACAGCUCUGAUUCAACAUGGAGCAGCACUCCCAUUGCUGGCUGCGGCUGUCAGGUAUCACUCGGAAGUACAAGUGUAUUGCCUCUUACCAGAUCUGCCAUCUACCACCUGAACCAGGGCUGUGCUGCUGUAUUGCUAGUGUUUAAAUGUUUCUCCCCUUGCACCCAGCAGAUUAAAGCUCUGUUGUGUUUGUGUAUCUGUAUGUGUGUCUGAAAAGAGAAAGAGGCUCAUUUUUUCUAUUAAAACGGAAGUAAUGUGUUAUCAUCAUAAUUAUGUCUUAUUGUUUGCUACUGUGUAAAGAUAACAAAUCAGGACUGAGUCACAGGAGCAAAUGCAAAAAUUACAUUUUUAUAAGAAUAAGGUCACAGGCCACAUGAUUUGUUGCGGAACAAAUGCAGUAAUUAAUUGGCCUCUCCCUGCAAUGGUAGAACAGGCAUCUUAACUACAGAAGAACCAGGAAAUGGAGAGCAGCAGUGUGCAGGAGUGCAGGAGGACCAUUGGUAUUAUUCUGGGGCUUACAGUGAGCUCUAAUAAGAAAUAAAAAUGUCAUUGGUAGGUCAUUGGUGGAGAGAGAAGAAAGGCAAUAUCUUUAGAAUUGCUGCUUUGACAAUACCAGUGUAUAUUUUCUGUUGUUUAAAGAUUUUUAUUGUGGGAAAUGUGGAAAAAAAUAUAUUUUAAAUAAUUAUUUUAGGUUUAUUUUUUCUUUACAUAUUCCAUAUGGAGAGAUUACAUGCAGGGUAUGGAACAGAGAAAGCUUUUUGGAAUUUGUGCUAUUUUUUUUAUUUCUCUGAGGCAGUGAUAGACCAGAACCAGCCCAAUGAAUGCAUACAUGUGCCUUUUGUACAGACAUUUUCUUCACUGCAUUGAUUAGGGAAAAAUCUUAGAAAACCUAUCCAAGGGCAUAUACAGUCACCUUCAAAGCCUUACCCCGUCAUCAAUGAAGAAAUGCAGGAUUGGACUCUCCUGUCCUCUUCUAAUGCCCACUUCACUAGCACUGCUUGGUCGAUGGUUUUGGCUCAUUGCCAUGUGAAUCCUGUCUGGCACAGACAUUUUCAGGGUGUCCACAGAUUGUAAGGGACUGAUGCAGUUCACUAG